ensembl:piRNA 21ur-6650 ncRNA
UUAAAGCAGCAUUUUGAAAAA